rnacentral:rRNA from 1 species
GGGGAAUUGUUCACAAUGGGCGCAAGCCUGAUGACGCAACGCCGCGUGGAGGAUGAAGGUCUUCGGAUUGUAAACUCCUGUUGCCCGGGACGAAAAGCUUCGACCUAAUACGUCGAAGUCUGACGGUACCGGGUGAGGAAGCCCCGGCUAACUCUGUGCCAGCAGCCGCGGUAAUACAGAGGGGGCAAGCGUUGUUCGGAAUUACUGGGCGUAAAGGGCGCGUAGGCGGCCUGCUAAGUCGAACGUGACAUCCCCGGGCUCAACCCGGGAACUGCGUCCGAUACUGGUAGGAUUGAAUUCGGGAGAGGGAUGCGGAAUUCCAGGUGUAGCGGUGAAAUGCGUAGAUAUCUGGAGGAACACCGGUGGCGAAGGCGGCAUCCUGGACCGACAUUGACGCUGAGGCGCGAAAGCCAGGGGAGCAAACG